GUACCCUCAAGCUUUGCUUGGUGUUGGGCGUCUUUGUCUCUCACGAGACUCGCCUUAAAAUGAUUGGCAGCCGACCUACUGGUUUCGGAGCGCAGCACAAUUCUUGCACUUUGAAUCAGCCUUGGUUGAGCAUCCAUCAAGACCACAUUUUUUAAC
rnacentral:misc_RNA from 1 species